rnacentral:rRNA from 1 species
CCUACGGGAGGCAGCAGUGAGGAAUAUUGGUCAAUGGACGAGAGUCUGAACCAGCCAAGUAGCGUGAAGGAUGACUGCCCUAUGGGUUGUAAACUUCUUUUAUAUGGGAAUAAAACGUUCCACGUGUGGGAUUUUGUAUGUACCAUAUGAAUAAGGAUCGGCUAACUCCGUGCCAGCAGCCGCGGUAAUACGGAGGAUCCGAGCGUUAUCCGGAUUUAUUGGGUUUAAAGGGAGCGUAGGUGGAUUGUUAAGUCAGUUGUGAAAGUUUGCGGCUCAACCGUAAAAUUGCAGUUGAAACUGGCAGUCUUGAGUACAGUAGAGGUGUGCGGAAUUCGUGGUGUAGCGGUGAAAUGCUUAGAUAUCACGAAGAACUCCGAUUGCGAAGGCAGUUCACUGGACUGCAACUGACACUGAGGCUCGAAAGUGUGGGUAUCAAACAGGAUUAGUUACCCCUGUAGUC